rnacentral:lncRNA from 1 species
AGCCUUUAACAGAGGCCUGAGGCUGUAGUCUGCACUCUAGACCCAGACUGCUUGGGCCUGCCUUCUGGUUCUGCUCCUUCCCACACGACCUUUCUUUGACUUUUCUCUGUCUCUGAUGCACCGUCUGUGAAAAUACUGCCUGCCUUAGAGGGUUUGUUGCGUGCGCUCCUUGGAACAGUUGACGGAAAUAGUAAGUACUUAACAAAUGUCAGCUAUGAUAUUAAACACUACCGAAUGCGUUUGUGGCAUUAAAUUUUUAAUUUUGUAAAUUUAACUCUUUAAGGAAUUUCUACAAUCUCUACACCCCACGUGGGGUUUGAACUAACGACCCUAAGAGCAAGAGUCACACGCUCCACCGACUGAGCCAGCCAGGCACCCCAAUUGUGUUUGUAGUAUUGUGUACUCUUGUGUACUAAUUAAAAUUAGCAUUAAACUCUACUGAAUGUGGCUGUCACUUUGUGUUAGGGAAAUUAAUUUUACUUACCACAGGUCACAAUAAUUUGCAAGUGUACCAUUUCUAGAGGGGCUAGUGUUAAAUAAUUGUAAUUUUUUCUUAGACAUCAGAAGGUGUAUCUGUCCUGUGUGGUUACGCCGUACUGCCUGAAUGGUGAUGUCCAGGGCCAUCAGUGACUCACACUCCCUCUGUGCUCGUAGGGCCAUGAAGCCCCCGGGAGGAGAGGCCAGCAAUCUCUUUGGAAGUCCAGAAGAAGCUGCUCCUUCAAGCAGGCCCAAUAGGAUGGCAUCUAAUAUUUUUGGACCAACUGAAGAGCCUCAGAACAUACCUAAGAGGACCAAUCCCC